GGCGGCGGCUGGCGCGGGCUGGCGUCCGGACGGAGGCGGGAGGGGACGCUGCAGCCUCGUGAAAGGCGAGGAGAGUGGGGCACAGGACCGGCGAGUUGGAGAGGCGCGGCGAGCGGCACUGCGCCCGCGGAGAGCCCGGCCCCGCGUCCCCGUGCCCGCGCGCGCUCAGCACCCGCGUGGAGGACAGCUCCGCAGCGCGCCGCUCGCCCAGCCGCCCUCUCGCCCGCCUGCUUCUGUAACCCACAGCCGGGGCGCCCGGCGGAGAGCCCGCGCCCGCUGCCCGACCUGCAACUCCCUACGAGCCAGCUCGGGAAAGCAGUCAUCGGCCUCGGGAGCCCUGACGACGCUGGAGCAGAAUGUACCAGGGACACAUGCAGGUAAGAG
rnacentral:lncRNA from 1 species